GUAGCUAUUGCUGUGAAAUCUGCACUCCUCUCUGAGACUCAUUCUGAAGAUGAGAUCCCAGUUCUUUGUGGAUACCUCUUCCUUAUUCAUGGCUUUUUGCAAUUGUCAAGGAAUGACUAGGUACCAAGCAACUUUAAAAAAUGUAUAUUUAAGCAUUGAAAUAGUAUCAAGUGUGACUUCUCUGCUUGUGGUUAUAUUGAUUAUAUUAUCCUUUUAAUAAUAUUGGCAUUAUAUUCUUGGUCAUAAAAUGUCAAGGUCUUAUUUAUUCAAUAUAUUUAUGUUCUGUAUUUUCAUAUAUAUUAUCUGUUUUCAACCAUGCAUUAUAUAUAAUGUCAGUAAUAGUAUUUCAUUAGCAUUCAUUAUUAAAAACCUCUUGUUUUUAAUAUUUGACUAAUUCAAGUCACAAUACUUUUCAGAUAGCUGAAAAGGAAAAUAAAUGUGUUUUAAUUUGCUACUACUUAUACUUGAAUUACCUUAUGCUCAUAUUUGUUUUUAGAAAUAAAUUGUGCCAGCUAUUUUGAAAUCUUAGAAAUUGUUUGUUCAUAUUAAUAUUGUCAUAUUUUCUUUUCUAUAAGAAAUAUAAUUUGAUAUAUAAAUAUACUUCCCCACGCAUGUUUAAUGUAUAAGAUCAAGUGUUCGAAGCAUUAAACAUUAAUUAUCUUGGAAUUUUAUUAUGUGUAUAAUAUCUAUUAAUACCUCUAUGUAAACCAGUGGUUCUUUAUCUUUGAGAUCACAGACCCCCCUCUGUGAUAAAAAAAAAAACCGACAAAAAAUAUUAACUGCUCUGAAAAAAGUUUUAGAACUACGUUUUCAAAAUUUUCUAUUUUAUGUUAGGUAGUUCAGAGACCCACCCCAAAGUCCUACCAGUGACCCCUUUUUCAAAUCCCCUGUAAUGUUAAUGUAGUUUUUUUAUAUUAGCAUAUGUUUCUUAAUUAAAAUGUGUGAUAAUUGCUGGUAGAUAUUUUAAUAUUUCUAAGUUACUACAGAACAAAAUGUAUUUUACCAGAAGACCACUUGGUAAGCAUUUAUUACAUGUUUUUCUUUUAAGGCAACAGUGGAAGUUAACUUACAAACAUGCUGUGAAUAUUUUUCUAGCUUCAUGUACCAAUAUGUAGAAUUGUGCUUUUAUUUCUAAUUAAUUUUUUCCUAACACUAUUAUUAUAAUUAGCUAAUAUACAGUAUUGUAAAUACUACUUAAAUGCAUAUACUUCCCAAAUCUAGAGCCUGGUUUCCUUUUCAGAAUCGUAUCAAAAAGUUGGAAGGAGAGACUUACCGAUACCACUGUGCUAUUCCUGGAAGCAAGAAGACAAUCCUUAUGGUUACAAAUAGGCGAGUGUUGUGUAUAAAGGAAGUUGAAAUCCUGGGCCUUAUGUGUGUAGACUGGCAAUGUCCAUUUGAAGAUUUUGUAUUUCCUCCUAGUGUCAGUGAAAAUGUGCUAAAAAUUUCAGUUAAGGAACAGGGUCUGUUCCACAAAAAAGACAGUGCCAAUCAAGGCUGUGUUCGAAAAGUUUACCUGAAGGACACUGCCACAGCAGAGAGAGCAUGUAAUGCCAUUGAGGAUGCACAGUCAACGAGACAGCAGCAAAAAUUGAUGAAGCAGUCAUCAGUGAGACUUCUCAGACCCCAAUUGCCAUCUUAAUCACAGACCCCAGGGGCUCCAACAGGGAGAAAAAACAAUCACUGGUUUUGUCUAUAAAUCACUCUGCUUUAUCUUGCUAAAGACAAUUUUUCAAGCAAUCCUUUAGUUUUAUUUUUCUAGAAUAGCUAGUAUUGGGUUUUCUAGUUUUUUCACCUUUUAGUUUUUACUCUAAUUUUGUAACCAUGUACAUGCUAGCAGUCCACUUCUACGCCACCACCCAAAUGGGUCAGACCCUUGAAGGAAAUGUCACUUCAAACUCAGAAUGAAAUUUUCAUUAAUAUUAAAAUUGUGAAGCAAAGGUCAAUAGGCUUAUAUUUAAUUAAAGCCUUACUGAAGAAUAAGAAAUGAGCUUAGAAUGACUAGUGUUCUUUGAAAGGUUUAUUUUAUUUUUGUUUUAUGGGUUUUUUUUUUUUUUUUUUGAGACCAAGUCUUGCUCUGUUGCCCAGGCUGGAAUGCAGUGGUGCGAUCUUGGCUCACUGCAAUCUCUGCCUCUCGGGUUCAAGUGGUUCUCCUGCCUCAGCCUCCUGAGUAGCUAGGAUUACAGGUGUGUGCCACCACGCCUGGGUAAUUUUGUGUGUGUGUAUUUUUAGUAGAGAUGAGUUUUACCAUGUUGGUCAGUCUAGUCUUGAACUCCUGACCUUGUGAUCCGCCUGCCUCAGUCUCCCAAAGUGCUGGGAUUACAGGCGUGAGCCACCGUGGCCCGCCAAAAAGCUUUAACCCAUGGACAAAUGUUGGAUCCUGACAUUUUGUUUAAGAGUGAUUUGUUCAAUAAUUGAACUGAGUUAACAUUUUUGGUAAGCGAGGUAACUGAAUGAAGAAAAAUCACUAAAGGGAGAAAUGACAUGUUUUAUAUUUUCUUUUCAUGAAAACACUGUUUUUCCCCCUAAUAAAGCAUGUUUUACUUUGGUGCUUAUUUUUCCUCCUUGCAGUCUAAUAAAAAAAUGUGGACAAUCAAACCUUAAAAUAUCUAUACUCAGCCCUCUGUAAUGUAGCAUUCAUAAAAAUUUGGAAGUAUUUACAUGCUCUUUCAAGAUGAGCUUAUAUGACACAAUUAUUAUUUGCUGAUACAUGAAAAUAUUGCACUUUAAGUUUCUCAAGACUCUGAAAUAUAUAAAAUUCAAUAUUUUUAUAUUCCCAGAAAUUGUUUCUUACAGGUUGAAAGACUUUUAAGGGCAUCACAAAUUAACAUUUACUCCCAAUGCACACCUAGAAUGUAUUUUAAAUACUUACUAAGAAGAAUGAAAAUUCUUUGGUUGUUUUAUAUAUAAAUAAGGCAUAUAUAAUGACACUGCGUUCUGUGAGGGAGCAGGCCCUGUGAGAAUCAAUUCAGGACAGUAUUUUUUUGUGUCCUUUCUCCAUCCUUGAUCAGAGAUAAACUAUUAAAACUUUAAAAAAUACUCAAAAAUAUUUAAGUUUUUUGCUUGAACCUUUAGAUUUGCUCAUAAUGUUUAACAUAACAACAUUUAUUUCAAAUCACUGAAUUCAUGGAGAUGUGGACACGCUUGGUUUGCUCUGUUUUUGUUUAUAUGUGGUAGUGGUUCUGUCAUCAUCAUUCAUGUUUUUUAAGGCCUGGUCAUAAAACUUUAAAUUUUACUAGUGUUACUUAAUGUAUAUUCUAAAAAGAGAAUGCAGUAACUAAUGCCCUAAAUGUUUGAUCUCUGUUUGUCAUUACUUUUUCAAAAUUAUUUUUUUCUGUAAAGUAUAAUAUAUACAACUUCUUGCUUAAAUUGAAUUUCUAUAUUAGUGGUUAAUUGCAGUUUAUUAAAGGGAUCAUUAUCAGUAAUUUCAUAGCAACUGUUCUAGUGUUUUGUGUUUUUAAAACAGAAUUCGGAAUGUGAGAUAUCCUAUUAUAUUUUCCAUAAUGAAUCACAGCUGUUGACAAUGUCCCAUAUAUUUAAGAAAUUAUAUCAUACUGAUACUAUUUGUAACAUUUUGAUUUGAUUUAAUCUCCAGGGACAGAAAUAAUUCAUUGGUAAAGUGUAAUAAUGCAUUUUUUAAAAAUGCUUUGAGAGGUAAUUACUUGCAUAUGCGAGAAAUAAAACAUUUGGCACAUUGU
rnacentral:sRNA from 1 species